CAUGCAAGUCGAGGGGAAACGAUAUUGGAAGCUUGCUUCCGAUAGGCGUCGACCGGCGCACGGGUGAGUAACGCGUAUCCAACCUGCCCACCACUUGGGGAUAACCUUGCGAAAGUAAGACUAAUACCCAAUGACGUCUCUAGAAGACAUCUGAAAGAGAUUAAAGAUUUAUCGGUGAUGGACGGGGAUGCGUCUGAUUAGCUUGUUGGCGGGGUAACGGCCCACCAAGGCUACGAUCAGUAGGGGUUCUGAGAGGAAGGUCCCCCACAUUGGAACUGAGACACGGUCCAAACUCCUACGGGAGGCAGCAGUGAGGAAUAUUGGUCAAUGGACGAGAGUCUGAACCAGCCAAGUAGCGUGCAGGAUGACGGCCCUAUGGGUUGUAAACUGCUUUUAUAAGGGAAUAAAGUGAGUCUCGUGAGACUUUUUGCAUGUACCUUAUGAAUAAGGACCGGCUAAUUCCGUGCCAGCAGCCGCGGUAAUACGGAAGGUCCGGGCGUUAUCCGGAUUUAUUGGGUUUAAAGGGAGCGUAGGCCGGAGAUUAAGCGUGUUGUGAAAUGUAGACGCUCAACGUCUGCACUGCAGCGCGAACUGGUUUCCUUGAGUACGCACAAAGUGGGCGGAAUUCGUGGUGUAGCGGUGAAAUGCUUAGAUAUCACGAAGAACUCCGAUUGCGAAGGCAGCUCACUGGAGCGCAACUGACGCUGAAGCUCGAAAGUGCGGGUAUCGAACAGGAUUAGAUACCCUGGUAGUCCGCACGGUAAACGAUG
rnacentral:rRNA from 1 species